rnacentral:rRNA from 1 species
ACGUAGGGGGCGAGCGUUAUCCGGAAUCAUUGGGCGUAAAGCGCGUGUAGGCGGUUCCGUAAGUCCGCUCUGAAAGCCCAGGGCUCAACCCUGGGAGGCGGGUGGAUACUACGGAACUGGAGUACGGAAGAGGAGAUUGGAAUUCCUGGUGUAGCGGUGAAAUGCGCAGAUAUCAGGAGGAACACCAACAGCGAAGGCAGAUCUCUGGGACGUUACUGACGCUGAGACGCGAAAGCGUGGGGAGCAAACAGGA